ensembl:lncRNA
CUCCAGGUUACCCGUGGCCCGCUAACACCCAUCUUCCACGCCCCCCUUCCGGCGUCUACCCCCAGCUUCUCCGCGCCCCCCAAGUCACACCGACAAGCACACCUGCAGGCCGGCAGCGGGGAGCGUCGAGGGCACGAUGCAGCCGGACUGCAUUGCACAGUCAUCAAAGUUAAGUAAGCUCUGAAGAGGAGGAGGAAGAUACUUCAGACGAUAAAGAGCUGGAAGAAGAGAAAAAAGAAGUCAGCCCAGGGAAGCACCUGCCUACUAUGUGUGACCAACAAGCAGAUGCUUCUAGACUCUUCCCCUUGAUCAGGAAACAGGCACGAUGAGCUCAGGCGCCUAGUCACAGCAUCUGGCUGCAGGGUCUGAUUUCUCUGAGGAGCCCCUCACACUCAGAGGCCACGUGAACCGUGCGGGGCUUGACCACUCUCACCUCAUGUUCUACCAGCUCCCCUGUCCAGACAACCAGCAG